GUGUCAGCAGCCGCGGUAAUACGAAGGUCCCAAGCGUUAUCCGGAUUUAUUGGGUUUAAAGGGUGCGUAGGCGGGCUAUUAAGUCAGUGGUGAAAGCCUCAAGCUUAACUUGAGAAUUGCCAUUGAUACUGAUGACCUUGAGUACAUUUGAAGUGGGCGGAAUGUGUCAUGUAGCGGUGAAAUGCUUAGAUAUGACACAGAACACCGAUUGCGUAGGCAGCUCACUAAACUGUAACUGACGCUGAGGCACGAAAGCGUGGGGAGCAAACAGGAUUAGAAACCCUGGUAGUCC
rnacentral:rRNA from 1 species